AAUGACUGACAGAAUCAGUGCACAGGAAAAAGCAGGUCUUGGAAUCUGACAGGUGUAACUUUGAAUUUCAGCUCAGCUCUCUGGGAGUGAGUUCCUUUUGGAGUUGCCGUGUCCUUCUUACUAAGAGCUGGACACUGUCAAGGAGCUUCCUGCACCUCCUCAGAGCUGAGUGGAAGUAGCAAGCUCCCUUGCAUUUCAAAAUGAUUUCUCCGGCUGCUGAAGGGAGGACUGCAAGUUGUAAGAGUAAAAGCUCCGGGGUCAGUGCAUUACCACAGCUGUUUAUACAACAGGCUUUUAAACCCGAGGUUCAAAGGUCCCAGGCUCAAUCCCCAGCAUCGUCAGAAGCCAGAGCUGAGGAGUGUUCUGGUGAAACAACACAAAACAAUCCCACGGGAGCCCUGUUCUUCUCAGAGCAGAAAACGGGAACCUUCUGAGGACAAGGGGACGUAGACCUUAAGGGUCAAGGAGACUCAGAGAGGUCGACUGGGAACACGAGGAAGACUAGAAAAGAAACAAGGCUCCCUGGGGGAUUGUCAGAUGGUAGCAUGAGGAAGCAAGCCCUAAAGGUUAGAGGCACCCAGCUGAGCACACAUAUUACCUAGUGGAAGGACCUGAGUUCAAGUCUCUGGUCCUCACCUGCAAGGGAGGAAAGCUUCAUGAGUGGCGAAGCAAUUCUGCAGGUCUCUCCCCUCCCAUCUUCCCCACCACCCUCAAUACCUCGGUCCUAUUAAAAAACAUCGGAAAAAUAAAAAGGCCUAAAGGUACUUUUCCUUUCCUUAACAAUCUGUUUGACUAUCUUUCCAAACACCUCUUCACUGUAACAGUUCCCUAGGGCCACCAAGGAGCAUGCCUUUAUUUUGUCCCAAAGAGAUCAUAAUGUGAAUGACGCCCCCUGGAGCUGGGCAGAGGCUCUGCUUCUCUCCACUUCCACAGACACCGCUUAGUCCUGCACCUUCCUACCUCUCAGGAAGACCCUGGCCUGGAGGUACCAGUGGGUUUGCUAAAGACAAGGAUGCAUGGCUCCGGAUGAAGCGGCUCAGGGUUGCCAAGCCCCACAGCCCGACUUGCCCGAGUUCUGGCUGGCCCCAGGACCUCAGACCCCUCAGACCCCGCUAUUCCACCCCCUAAACCAGGGCCACGCUCUGAUUGGCUGCCUCCGCCAGCCUCAGUUUAUCCCUCUUGCCCAUUGGCCGGCUUCUCCUGUCUGCCCACAGGCCGCACACUCACCUGGGACUGGCCGGCUUCCUAGAGGCCCCGCUGGGUUGCCUCGUGCCGCCACCAGAUCCUUCCUCAUUAAACAAAUGAAUCACAAUCCUAAUUAAUUUGAGCAACAGAAUUUAUGUAACUAUUCCCAGCAGGAUGUCUGCUCUCUGUCGGUAGUGAGAUUAAUUUUCCUCUCUGGGAAAUUCCAGCCACACUGGUCAAUAAACCUUAAUGAUGACUGAAAUCUUCCAUCUGCCUUUGCUGGGGCAGGUAACCCCUGCUCAUCAGAAGCGUGGCUGGC